GUGUCAGCCGCCGCGGUAAGACAGAGGUGCCAAGCGUUAGGCGGAAUCACUGGGCUUAAAGCGUGUGUAGGCGGAGCGUUAAGUGCCUUGUGAAAUCCCGCGGCUCAACCGCGGAACUGCUGGGCAUACUGGCGUUCUUGAGCCAAUCAGGGGUCGCCGGAACAAACGGUGGAGCGGUGAAAUGCGUAGAUAUCGUUUGGAACGCCGAAGGCGAAAGCAGGCGACUGGGAUUGCGCUGACGCUGAGACACGAAAGCCAGGGGAGCGAACGGGAUUAGAUACCCGCGUAGUCC
rnacentral:rRNA from 1 species